UUUUGAAAAUCUCAUUGUGGAAUAUAAGCGCGCAGCUUAUUUGAGAUGCAUUGAAAUUUAUCGACAUGCAUGGUUAUAUUAACAACUUUGGGAUAACCUACAACCAUAACUAUAUGAACAAUUGAACUAUAACAACUGGAAAAUGAAUAGAUAAAUUUGCCAUUAUGUUUAAUAAAUAUACUACUGAUUAUAAUAGUGUAAUCAAUGUUGUUAAUUGCUGCUACUCAUAUCAGUCUUUACUUUUCGGUGUUGGUUUUUUGUCAAGGGCAGGCGAUCAAAUAAUAUGUAUAGUUUCUCAUCCGCUGCUACAUCUGGGGUGGUACGUAAUGGAGUCGUGAUACAUACACAGAGUCGGCCGUGGGCUUAGAUGCCAUCUGUGUUAAAAAUUACGGCAAUAAAUGAGUGUUGGGAGACAUGCAGCCUCUUAAUUAUGUGUGAAGCGGAGUUAGGUCGAUAACACGCUAAAAAUUCAUACACUACAAACACCACUGUAGUUUUUUUUUUAGCCCAGGAAUUCAGGUAAUUUAAAAUAUAAUAUUAUCAGGUUGCUCCAUUUAAUCAUUACGGACUUCUGUGCCAGACAACAACGUAAUUAUAAAACAAUUAUGUUGUAUAAACAGAAGGAGCUGCUUCUGUUAAGAGCGCCUAUUACUUUCCGUUCAGUUACCUCCGAUUAAAUGCCGUGGAGAAUUGCGGUCACACCGUUAACCGCCUGCCAUCGUUCCCAUGCCUCGCUUUCUGUGACCCUUGGCGAAGCCUAAGCUUUUUCAGCUCUCCAAGGACAGAAGGGUAGUACGGAUCAGGUCGGCCCCUGGGUCGCUGCAGCAAACAGGAGCACCGUACGUGGUCAUUUGUCCCUGACCCGUACAUGUAUCUAAUCGGUGUCGAAGACAGAAAUUGUGACGAGGUGCCGGAAAAGGUUCAGGCAAAGAGGACAGGAACAAAGCCAGCAGUGCCUGAAUAACGACCCAUAUUCAGUUAGGUUUGGGCAGCCUGCUUGUACCAGAAUGGGCUACAUGACUUCGAUUCACUGUCCCAGCCAGGUUGUGGAUUCAAGAUUCAAGAAGGGACUAUUGCAGAAUGGAAGACGGAAAACUUUGGCCAGGUAGCGGUGUUUAUAUGCCGCCGCAGGUGAAUUACACAAAAACCCAACCUGUGUCAGGUUUUCAUGAUGACACAAUAUUAAGUGAAGAUGCAUAUUUAAUUAUGUGAAAUGACACCCCAAAAGUGAUGCAUUUAUUGGCCAUAAUCAGAGAGGGGAUCUUGAGGACCAAAGGCGAGCAGGUCUGUGUUGUCUGAGAUGGGGUUUCCCACAGUUGACCUGAGCCCUUCAGGUAACGGUCCUGUAUGUGUCCUCUAGACGGGGACAGCGGGGGGGUCGCGAGAAGCUGUGCUCCACGUCCUGCUGCUCUCUUACUAUCUCUCUCCAGAUGAGCUGAAGAGCACGGCGGAGAAUGGAGGAAGCCGCUGCAUCCUGAAACUCCGUCGUGUCCCUUGGAGAAGUUUCUGCCCAUGUGCUUGACUCUUCACGAGCAGGGCGAGGAAUCACCUUCACGGUCAGCAGGAUUUUUUGAUCGACCACUGGGAUGAUGUGGGGGACAGGUCGAUGGGGGGGGGGGGUUUCAGCAGAUGUCAGAAAUUAUAAACAAAAGCCCAGGCUCACUUCUCACCAUUCGACACAAUCAACACUGACGUGCUUUAACAGCCCCGCUUGGGGUGUGGAACAAAGAGCUGGCAGUCGCGGGCUGUCCUGAGGGACGCGCGCUUCUGUGAAUGUCUGAUGCGCUGACUUUGCAGUCCUUCUGUGAAAGUAGUUCCGGCCGUUUUUUUCCAGGGGGUGUGGCCAUUGUCUGAAGAGAAAGACCUAGUGACAUUGGAGGAAGGACUGGCCCAGUUACACACACUGCACCCAAGUUUAGUGAAACCUAACAGCACUCCAUCAGGACAGCGUUUACAGAUUGGCUUUAUUAUACCCAACAGUGCUGUAGUGCAGCAAGGUUUAGGGAAAAUAGGUUUAGUAACUUAACUACCCUGAAAUGUAGCAUUUCUGUAUCUUAAAAGGUACAUUUACCUACAGCUAGGGUACAUUUGGCAGAUCCUCGAGGGUACAGCCCCAGUGACAAGCAAAGGUACAAAUUGGUUCUCUUUUUUUCUCACACUACAACAUUUUAUCCGGCUCAGGUAACAAAAGCUUUGAUCAUGCAAAAGUGAAAAUGUCCUUGGUGAUUUGACUACGCCUUAGUAUAACUAAAAUUUAGGACUUUACAGGCAGGAAAAAAAACUAUGUAUACUAUUAUUUUAAGGAUGCUCAUCUUUCUAAAGCUGUUGGCAAUUCCUCCAUCCCGCCUGUUUCUCUUCUAUAUUUGAAAAUUUGAUGAAGCCCUUUCCAGUGGCUAUACGUAAUGAGUGGGCAUGGUUUCUAUUCCGGCAUGUAGCAUACUCACAACAUUCCUGUAAUGUUGCACCAACAUCCCAGCUAAAAGUUUCCAGUUAUGAGAACAUUCUUGGAAUGUUUAGGUUAUGUUAAUGGAAUAAUAGGUUUACCUGCUGAUCACCUUGUUUGUAUAUUUCUGCUGUAGGUCACAGUAAUUUAGCUACUGAUCAGGGAGGAGAUGGGGACCAGUGAUGCUGAUUCAUUUCACAGCAAUAUUUUUAGUGCAACUUUAGCAAAACAUUCCAAGAAAAUAUAAUGUGAAAGAUGAGUGUUAAGCCUCUGGAG